AGGUAUUAAAGGGAAUAGAGGUAUUAAAGGGAAUAGAGGUAUUAAAGGGAAUAGAGGUAGUAAAGGCAGAAUAGAGGGAAUAGAGGUAGUAAAGGGAAUAGAGGUAGUAAAAGGAAUAGAGGUAGUAAAGGCAGAAUAGAGGGAAUAGAGGUAGUAAAGGGAAUAG